UUGGCCCCACUGUGCACCACACACUCCUUUCCCAGCCCAGGGGCACGCGAACAAAAUGAGGCUCAAGCUGACCAGGCCGAGCCGGAGGAACGCUGGGGCUUGGCAGCAGAAGGGAUGGGACCAGAGAGAAGGGUGUGGAGGAGACCCCAGUGAGGGCCAGGACAUUUCAGGUAAAGAGAGGUCAUAUCUCCGUACCUCACUUCCUGACACAAACAAGUUUUCACUGUUGUCAGCAACAAAGCCCUAAUAUAGCUGCGGAAGAGAAAAACUGCAUUGCAUUUUGCCUCCUGCAAGCAUCAUCAACAGUUACUGGAGGAACGUAAUUCCAGAAAGCUUGAAAGCCGUGGUGAUGGUAAUUAUGUAUCAAAUGCCUGGUUCUAUUUCUGUUAUUAUUGUUUUGUCAUUUCUGUUUUCCCAGCGAUCUGACUGAACUCGCAGAGGGACAAAUCCAGUUUUUCUUUUUGACUUUUGUCAAACUAAAUCAGGCCUGAUAGAAAACUCAUUGCUCUCCGGGGAAACAAAGUAGGAGCCACGAAAUGUCAUUUUAACAGAGCGUGGGUUUGGUGACUGUAGGAAAGGAUUUGAGGACGCUCCUUCUGUUCGGCUUCCUAUGUCAUGAGCACAGGCUCCACGCACGCACAGACACCACGGCUCCCGGAUGCUGUGGCUCCCCGAUCGGGGCUCCUGCAGCGCCAGAAGCCCCUCCGGGAUGCUUCGAGGGGCUCCCGGUGGGUGGAGGUACGGACGCCGCUGCGGCCGCCGCCGCCAGUCCUGCUGCUGUUGUUGCUGCUGCAGUCACGUGGGAGCCCCUUUAAGUUUCCAUAGAGAGGCCUCUCUGGUGUCACAUGAUGGACAUGAUAUAAUGAAACAACAUUGUGGAGAGGAAAGCAUUAGGGGAGCCCACGGCUACAAAAACAAGUGAGUGAGAAGAGGUGGGAGGAAGAGAAACUACGCCACCUCCCCUGCAGCCGAGUGCACGCAGCAGCCUGGCGUGACAAGUGGGCGACGCCGGGGGGCAGGGAGCCGGGGUCCUUGGCCCUGGCCGGGGACCCCACCGCCCACCGCGCGGAGGACAACUUUUAGCCGGCAGCCCAGACCAGCGCGGCACCUGUCUCCGGAGUCUCCACCGCUCCUCCCGAUUCAUCCCAGGGAAAUUCUCAAGAAUACGCUCUACAAAUCUACGUGCGCAUCAUUUUCACCUCGCGUCGCGCCCGGGAGGAAGGAACGAGGCAAGGAGCUAAAGCAGCGUGCGUUCAGCCCUGGGGCAUUUUAUUAAUGCUUUUACGAGUUAGAAGAGUUGGGAUAAUUUGCCAUCUGGAGUUUCUCUGCCUUGCUGAUCUGAGCUCAGACCUGCCAAUUUACCAGAGAUAAUUGAUAACACCCUGUAACAGCUGAGAGGAAAAUGGAAGAAACGGAGAUACUUUUAGUGAAGCAGAAUAAACCACUGAACAGGAAAAAUGAGGAAGCUGUGAGUACCAGUGGAAGGAACGAGCCAGGAAGAGGGACUGGAACCAUCUCAGAAGCCAUGCCCCUCAGGCUGGAACUUGCCCUGUCUCCUCGCAGAUGAGGUAGGAGGCUCAGCACGGGCUGGUGGGAGCAGCCCACAGCAGCAGUGAGGGUCAGUGGGCCUGUGAGUUAAGAAGAAGGUGGCACAGAGCGAGGGUCUCUGGAUCCUGACUGUUUGACUUUUCCAUGAUUAGGAUAAGUAGCCAGGGCUUGGCUAGUUGGAGAGUUACUCGAACCUCAGGUGACAGUUGUAAGGCAGCACAUAGUGAAAAAGAGUCCUAGCCUGGGAAAGUCCAAAACCUUAGGUCUGGUUUCAGUUCACUCACCUAUCUCUGUGACAUAGCAAAGUCUGUUAAUUUCUCUAAUUUUCUGAUUAGUAGUAUAGUUGCAGGAAUGAAAUAAAAAUGGUCCUGAUUACUCAGAGAUUCAUUUACUGAUUACUCUUUUUGUGACCUGAAUAAAGAGUACAACAUCUCUCAAAAGGUAACAAUAUGAUGUUUCAGGAAAUUAGAGAAGUUAAGAGACUUUGCUGUAUUUACUAUACAGAUAGUUGACUGACAGCUGAGCCCGGACCCAAGAUUCAUUUAUAAAAUGAAGGAGUUGAGAAGUACAUACUCUGAGGUUUAUCCUAAAUAAACUGAAGUCUAGGCAAGUGGCUGAGCUAGGUUUGCCAUGAAUCAAUCUGCUGAGUAUAUUUCUUGGUAACUAGUUCAUCUUUCCUUAAUUCAGUCAACAAAUAUGAUAUCAAGUUUAGUAAGAUGAUGACAGUUGUCAUGUAAUACUCCAUCUGGAAGAUUGUAUGCUUCUCAGCUUCCCUAACUUUUCUUAAUCUACCUUAAGCUUCCUUUCUGAAAGGUUUCUGUCUUUCCUAACAGUCUCUUCUUUCCGCCAGCUACCUCUUGUGUUUAAGAAUUAAAGGAAGAUGAGCUAGGAAUCAAGAAAUACGCAGAACUGAUUCCUGUCACUGGCGCCACCCUGCCACUUGCCCAGAGCUGUGGUAUAAAUUUUUUUAAUAGGCUGAAAUAAAAAUAUGAAUAGCAUUUUGGUAUUAAGCAUUAAAUUGAUAAAGGCUAUGAGAUACACCUGCUCUCAACCAUGUUAAUUUUUUAUUAUUGGUAUUAAUAAAUUAUUACUUACUAACAUAUUAACAAGAAUUGCAUUGAGAAACAAAGCAUCCACAGGCCAAAUCUUCUGAAUUUCAAAUGUUUAUAUUAAUGCGUUGUAUUCUAGAAAAGUAGAAUUGUCUUAAGUAGCUUUGUAAUAUAAAGUCAUCUAUCAGCCCAUUACACCUAUUAGAAUGUUUUAACCUUUAUUUCCCACUUUUUUGUUUCUAGACUGAGUGUACUUGGUCUGGUAUUUGUGGCAUAACUUACGGAACACAUAAGAAUGAUACAGAUACUAUUUAAUGAUGACCUAAUACAAGCUUAGAUAGCUAAGGUGAAAGCUUCUAUGGCCUUAACAUUUUCCUCUUGAAGAAUGUAUUUUCUGUAAUAAAAUACAGUGGCUACUUGAAAUCUAUAAACUUAUGUGAGGUCUGGAUAAAUCUGAGCAACUUUCUUCUUUGUGCUCCAGGAACCUACGCACUAUAUAUAUAAAUAAAGCUUAAGUAAACAUCACUGCAA
rnacentral:lncRNA from 10 species